rnacentral:rRNA from 1 species
AUGGUGGACCCGCGGCAGGUGCUGGCGGGGUUCCUCACCCUCUCCAUGUUCGUCAUGCUCGGCAACAUGAUCAAGCACGACCACUUCACCUCCGUCUCCGAGCUGGCCGUGGAGGCAACAGGCGUGGAGCUCAAUGCGAUGAAGAUCGCAGACAAUACUGAAAUUACCAAGGCUGGAGUGGAGCUCGAGGCUACUGAGGAGAUUAAGCCCUGCUGGACCAAACCAAGCCCAAAGGAUGACCAGUCUAACGGUUUUGUUACCAUGUCAUUGACUAUUGGCCCCGAAUACCAUUCAUCACAGAUCGCUGAUGCUGUAGUGAUUGCAAGGUAUCUGGGAGCUACACUUGUACUUCCAGAAAUCAGAGGAAAUGAAUUAGGAAAGAGUCGAAAAUUCCAAGACAUGUACGAUGUGGAAAAAUUCAAGAUGAACUUGGAUGGUGUUGUCAAAGUUGUAGAUAAACUUCCUGCUGAAUGGACCACUAAGAAGCCAGCAGUCAUUAGAGUACCAAACCGGGUGACAGAAGACUUCAUCCUGGACACCAUCCAGCCCGCCUUCCAAAAGAACAGUUACCUACGACUUGCAAUUAUUUUCUCUUCAGUAAGUUUGAAACCGAAAGGGACAAAUAACAAGGACUUGGAUUCAACUGCUUGCCAUGCAAUGUUCACUGGGCUCAAACUGAACGCCGAAUAUUCAGAAGUGGCUGAACAGAUGCUGGGCAGGCUUAAAGAGCUAAGCCAGAAAUCAGAUGGCAGGGUGUUGGCGGUUGAUAUGCGGACCGACUUGCUAGAGAAGAAGACCUGUAAAACAAGCGCGGGUGCAAGAAGGAAAGGCUGUUACAAUCCUCAGGAGGUUCUGAAUUUCCUGAAGAAGGUCGGCUUCUCUGCUAAUACAACCAUCUACUUGACAGAGACAUGGUGGCACAAAGGCCUGAAUAAUCUUAAGAAGGCAUUCCCAAACACUUAUACCAAGGACGACAUAAUGCCGGCUGAGAAGAAAGGUGAGUUCCUGAACUCUGGCGAUUCAGACCUAGCAAGGGCCCUGGACCUCGAGAUCUGCUCGCAGAGCGACGUGUUCGUCCCUGCCAUCCCCGGCAUGUUCUACGGAAACGUGGCCGGUAAGAGGAUCGCGUCAGGCCUGACCCAGAUCCUUGUCCCGGCUCCGGUGGUGGGCGGUUCGGCGCAGGCCUCAGACUUCGUCUCCACAUACAUCACCAAGAAGAGCCACUUCGCCUACUCAUGCUACUGCUAG